rnacentral:sRNA from 1 species
AGCGCCUGCGGCGGACCCGGCACGGACUCGGUCGAACGCUUCGCAGGCAGUUUGUCCGUGUACGGUCUGGUACAUUCCGGAAUUUUCCGGAUUUAAUGGA